AAAACAUUUACAUGGAUACUUUUUACAAACAUUUACAUGGACACUUUUUACAAACAUCCAAUUUAAACAUCACAUUCCAACCAAUCAACGAUCUUUAUAAUUCACAAAGACAUGCAUCUGCAUUCAAAAUUACAAAUUCUUACACUUUCAGCAUGCGACCUAGUGCAAGAACAACCAAAGUCAUUGUUCGAUCACUAGCUAUCUCAUUAGUUUGAAAGCAGCUUGUCUCACUAUCUUAGCUCCAACGUUCUCAGUUUGAAAAAACUCUCUAUCACUUUAUAUUAAUUUUGCAGCUUAGUCUCUUACGGGAUUUAGGUGUACACAUGGUUUUUUGUACACAUGGAUAAUGUAAAUUCAGCGUGCAUGUGGACACACAUGAACAAUAGAAAAAUGCAGUUUUGUGGAUUCAAAUAUGUCUAACGCAUGACUGUCUACUUAUCAUUUAUGAUUCCAAUAUGUUUGUUCAUUGCAUAUCGUAAAGGAUACAAAUGCAAAUUUGAAAGUUUUUGGGUUCAAAAACAAAAUGCUGCAACAAUUUAGGGGUCAAAUGUUCAAAAAAAAAACAAGAUUCUCCAUCAAACAAGAGCUAAAUUGUAUAUUCGAAAAUCUAGGGUCAAUUAGAUAGGAUGUAUAUGCAAAUCAGAGUGUUUGGGACAAAAUCAAAUUUAACCUAAAAAUAACGGAAUUAUGCAAUUAUGAGAGAGUAGACCAUUGUUGAUUGAGCUUUCUCUUUGUGAAUGCGAGUGGAGCUUGACGGCGACGACGAGUGUAGCGGCUCAGGCAGGUGGUCUGCGGUUUGAUACUACAGACAAAGAUGCUCGUUAUGGUUUGAGAUUGUGAGUCAAUCAAAAUUUCCGGAAUAAAACAGUCACGAUUCUCGCUGGUGGUGGUCCUGGUGGAUGAAUUUCUUGAUUUUCAUAUUCUGUUCCAUGGUGGAUGUCGGGUCUUAUGCAUCGUCUUUGCCGUCGAAAUUGCUCCACCGUCGUCUAUGUCUUUGUUGUUGCUACACCAAAGUUGAUAAUGUCUCUGCCGUUGAUGGCGUUUUCGUAUAUGCCAUUAUUAAACCAUCAUCGGAGAUGCACCUUGACCUAUUUUAAAAGAUAGAUUGAGCAACAGAGACAAUAAUUACAUGCAAGUUCUUUUGAAAAAAUAAUCUGAAAAAUCAGAUUCCAAUUUCGAAAAGAAAAUAGAAUGGUUGGGAAAAAGAAGACGAGGAAGAAAG
rnacentral:lncRNA from 1 species